rfam:Moniliophthora roreri strain MCA 2952 kmer90.96914, whole genome shotgun sequence.
UGCCCCAUGGCUGAGUUGGUUACAGCGUCCGACUGUUAUGUAGCCAAAUCUGGGAUACCUGGAUCUCCAUGGACAAUCGGAAGGUCGUGAGUUCGAGCCUCACUGGGGCAG